ACAAAUUACAAUGGCAAAACAGCUGAAAUCGAUGAAACGCGUAAAGAAUAAAAAUGCAUUUUUUUGACUGUCCCAGGCUGUAGCAAAUUAAAAAUAUUUCGA